AUGAACGCUGGCGGCGUGCCUAAUACCUGCAAGUCGAGCGAACAGACGAGGAGCUUGCUCCUCUGACGUUAGCGGCGGACGGGUGAGUAACACGUGGAUAACCUACCUAUAAGACUGGGAUAACUUCGGGAAACCGAAGCUAAUACCGGAUAAUAUAUUGAACCGCAUGGUUCAAUAGUGAAAGACGGUUUUGCUGUCACUUAUAGAUGGAUCCGCGCCGCAUUAGCUAGUUGGUAAGGUAACGGCUUACCAAGGCAACGAUGCGUAGCCGACCUGAGAGGGUGAUCGGCCACACUGGAACUGAGACACGGUCCAGACUCCUACGGGAGGCAGCAGUAGGGAAUCUUCCGCAAUGGGCGAAAGCCUGACGGAGCAACGCCGCGUGAGUGAUGAAGGUCUUCGGAUCGUAAAACUCUGUUAUUAGGGAAGAACAAAUGUGUAAGUAACUAUGCACGUCUUGACGGUACCUAAUCAGAAAGCCACGGCUAACUACGUG
rnacentral:rRNA from 1 species